UGUCGGGUGAAGUAAUUUAUGUUUAUCUGUACAGUGGUUUAAUUCAAACCUGAUGUAUGAUCAUCAAACACACUAGACACUUAGGGAGUUACGUCCACUUUACAGAACCUUUCUUAGUCAAAAUAAGCUAUUACAUCGAUCCAGUCCUUGCACUUCAAAGACUGCCCGCUAUGCUGACGGUGACUGUAUUGGUGUGUGCUGUACUGGGCGUACACGCGAAAAAACUGAUUUUGUUUCCCGACAACAAGGCACUGCUCUAUUCACAGGAGAGUAAUAAAUGGCGCUCUUUCAGCCAGUUGAAAGCCAUUCGAUGGUCAAAUGACGGUAUAGAUGACAUCAAGAGUUAUCAUAAUUCAGUGGACGAAUACUGUGCACCACGGGCCCCUACAAUCCCCGCUAAAUACCAGUACAAAAACUGUCUACUGAUGGUCUCUGAAAAACAACAACAAAAAGUUUAUGAAAGUAAUGUCAACUGCUUAGUGGAAAAAAACAAACACAUCAAUAGACCGGACAUCACACAAUUUGCCUGUGCCAUCACUGUGUGCUACAACAAGUUGUUCUUCCCUAUCGCGUACAUGUAUCUGUUCACCUGUUUUUACUGGUGAUCGUACCUAGGUUCGGACUGUGUGUGCAGAAUCUGCCUGGCAACAACUGUAGGUGGUACAAUAAAAAGUAAAACCAAACAAUGACAGUUUUAGUA